UUUCCUCAGUGUCUUCAGUUUUCUUUCUGCACUGAGACUGAACUGACUGUGCCUAUCUUAUCAGAUAUACCAUCCCCAAUGGUAUCCUGAUCCUCCUUCUUCCUGUAGUAUUCUCCAGUUGCUUCAUUUUGCAGACACUGCAGAGCCCUUGACUGGAAAAGUGAGUGGACAUUUGUCAGAAGUGGUAUUUUCUCCUGUGUCAAGCUGGGAUUUCACAAAGUUGCAAAGAACCCUACACUCAGCAGAGUGUGAUUCAGCAUUAGCCGUUGGCACCCUUGUGUUAUAGAGCCCUUCCAGAAGCCCAAUGCCUUGCUGGUGGAGCUGACCUGUGCUGGCUUGUGCUGACCGAGGGCUCAGGGAAUGCAAACAUAUCGGGACUCAUCUGAGCCACAGCAUCUCCGUGAGCCCUGGAUAUGAGGCCAUGAGUUUCAUCAAACUGCCCAAGCCUGAAGUUUGCUGCCUAAACCCAUAAACAAGCAUGUGAGUGCAUAGCCUGCAGUCCAGAGCCCAGUUCAAGAGGAGUAUCCAUGAAUAGGGCAGAAAGAAGAGCUCUGCUUCCUUGGGCUCCCUAAUUUUUCUCAAAUUGACUUUGCAGCUCAAUAUAAACCUCUGUGAUUUUAACACUGGCUGCUUACCCAUGCUUCUCAUUUUUGACAUGCUGAGACUGUACAUUUCCUGGAAAUAAAAUGACUGAGGGAAGCAGAGCUGCAGAA